CAAAAACAUAGGCUAGUAGAAUAUACUAUUAGUAACUCCCUGCUCAAUGAAUUCUUAAAUAGCCGCAGUACUCUGACUGUGCUAAGGUAGCAUAAUCAGUUGGCUUCUAAUUAGAGUCUAGUAUGAAUGGAGCAAUGAAGGUAAGCUGUGUCAGCAAUAUAUGGUAAACUUGCUGAGCAAGUGCAAAAACUUGCGCGGGAGAUAAUAGACGAGAAGACCCUAGAAAUUUAAAUAUUAUUUUGUUGGGGCAACAGCAUAACAUUGAAUUUAUGCUGCGGACUGGACAAGAAAUUGUUAGGCAGAAUAAAUUACUCUAGGGAUAACAGCAUAAUUUUUAAAAGUUUGUGACCUCGAUGUUGGACUAGGAAGUUUAAAGCCGAGAAGGUUCUAAAUUAUGCACUGUUCG
rnacentral:rRNA from 1 species